rnacentral:rRNA from 1 species
CCCAGACUCCUACGGGAGGCAGCAGUGGGGGAUAUUGCACAAUGGGGGGAACCCUGAUGCAGCGACGCCGCGUGGGUGAAGGAGCGUUUCGGCGCGUAAAGCCCUAUCGGCAGGGAAGAAGGAGGACGGUACCUGACUAAGAAGCCCCGGCUAACUACGUGCCAGCAGCCGCGGUAAUACGUAGGGGGCAAGCGUUAUCCGGAUUUACUGGGUGUAAAGGGAGCGUAGACGGCAUGGCAAGCCAGAUGUGAAAUACCGGGGCUCAACCCCGGGACUGCAUUUGGAACUGUUAAGCUGGAGUGUCGGAGAGGCAGGCGGAAUUCCUAGUGUAGCGGUGAAAUGCGUAGAUAUUAGGAGGAACACCAGUGGCGAAGGCGGCCUGCUGGACGAUAACUGACGUUGAGGCUCGAAAGCGUGGGGAGCAAACAGGAUUAGAUACCCUAGUAA